UGACCUCCAGUUUCAAAGAGCUUGACUUGAAGUCAGGAAGUGCCUCACACCACGUCUGUAAAGUUGGACUGAACUUACGGUUUCCACACUUCAGACACAUUUUCAUUGCGAGAGCUCUCCGACUACUAGCCCGCAGAGCGCUUAUUCCACUGCAGACCAGGACAGAAGCCGCUACGAGUGGGAGAAGCAAGAGGAUGUCGUCUGACCACAUGCCAGCUCAUAAAUGCUGUUUACCAUUUGUUAGAUGGUACAUGCAGGGAACCCAAAGUUUUGGAAAAGUAAUUAGUUUUUAUAUUAAAGAGCAUAACUAUUUAA